CCGGUGCGGCGGCGGCCUCGGGGUGUGUGAGACUGCGCGUGUGCUUGUGUAUGCGGGGGGGGGGAGGGUGCGGUGCCGGUGCGUGUGUGGUGUGUAGGGUGUGUGUGUGUGCGUGGGGGCUGCGGUGCGUGCGUGUUUGCGUGCGUGUGUGCGGUGCCGGUGCGUGUGUGUGGGUACCCUGCCGUGCCGUGCCGUGUGUGUGUGUGCGGGGGGUGCGAGGCCGGUGCGGUGCGUGUGGGUACCGUGCAGUGUGUCUGUGCGGAGGGUGCGGUGCCGGUGCGGUGCCGUGUGUGUGCGUGCGCGGUCGGCGCGGCGCGGGGGGGGCCGUGCGGGGCGCGUACGCCGGGCGGACCCGGCGGGGCGCAGCGCGGGGCGGUCACCGGCAGGGCCGGUCGCCGCCGCCGCACGGCGUAUGUAGUACGGGGCUGGGCGGCUGCCGGAGGGUGAAUGAAGCGAGGAGGAGGCGGCGGCGGGGGAGGCGGCGCUGGCGCUGGGAUGUGCCCGGCAGCAGCCCCGCUCCGCUUUACUCAGGGCCCAGACCGGCUGCAGACGCCACCCGUCACAUUGCAGGCCAAGCCAGAUGGGCAAGCAAUACAAGCUGUGAAUUUAUCCUUGACCCCAUAGGACAGUGACCACCGUCAUUUUUGUCUUCACCGUACAGUUAUGCACUGCCAGUAAGUGAAAAGGUCAAGAAAAGCAGUAGCUCAGUGGCUGAAUUUUUCUGAAGUGCUUUACAGCAGGGAAAGUGGGGAAACCUCUUAAAGUGGUGUCUUACUCA
rnacentral:lncRNA from 1 species